rfam:Callipepla squamata strain Texas jcf7180005229628, whole genome shotgun sequence.
UUGCUUUGGCAGCAUGUAUACUGAAACUGGGACACUACAGACAAGAUAAACAUGUUUCCUGGACAAGGAUGACAUGCAAAUUUGUGAAGCAUUCCGUAUUUUU